GAUGAAGUGAUGAUAUGAUGCUGC
rnacentral:siRNA from 1 species